GGAAGCGUAUCGAAGUGGUCAUAACGGGCUUGACUCGAAAUCAAGUAACCCGAAAGGGUUCGUGGGUUCGAAUCCCACCGCUUCCGCCA
rnacentral:tRNA from 1 species